rnacentral:rRNA from 1 species
UGAACGCUAGCUACAGGCUUAACACAUGCAAGUCGAGGGGCAUCAGGAAGAAAGCUUGCUUUCUUUGCUGGCGACCGGCGCACGGGUGAGUAACACGUAUCCAACCUGCCCUUUACUCGGGGAUAGCCUUUCGAAAGAAAGAUUAAUACCCGAUAGCAUAAUGAUUCCGCAUGGUUUCAUUAUUAAAGGAUUCCGGUAAAGGAUGGGGAUGCGUUCCAUUAGGUUGUUGGUGAGGUAACGGCCCACCAAGCCUUCGAUGGAUAGGGGUUCUGAGAGGAAGGUCCCCCACAUUGGAACUGAGACACGGUCCAAACUCCUACGGGAGGCAGCAGUGAGGAAUAUUGGUCAAUGGGCGCUAGCCUGAACCAGCCAAGUAGCGUGAAGGAUGAAGGCUCUAUGGGUCGUAAACUUCUUUUAUAUAAGAAUAAAGUGCAGUAUGUAUACUGUUUUGUAUGUAUUAUAUGAAUAAGGAUCGGCUAACUCCGUGCCAGCAGCCGCGGUAAUACGGAGGAUCCGAGCGUUAUCCGGAUUUAUUGGGUUUAAAGGGAGCGUAGGUGGACUGGUAAGUCAGUUGUGAAAGUUUGCGGCUCAACCGUAAAAUUGCAGUUGAUACUGUCAGUCUUGAGUACAGUAGAGGUGGGCGGAAUUCGUGGUGUAGCGGUGAAAUGCUUAGAUAUCACGAAGAACUCCGAUUGCGAAGGCAGCUCACUGGACUGCAACUGACACUGAUGCUCGAAAGUGUGGGUAUCAAACAGGAUUAGAUACCCUGGUAGUCCACACAGUAAACGAUGAAUACUCGCUGUUUGCGAUAUACAGUAAGCGGCCAAGCGAAAGCAUUAAGUAUUCCACCUGGGGAGUACGCCGGCAACGGUGAAACUCAAAGGAAUUGACGGGGGCCCGCACAAGCGGAGGAACAUGUGGUUUAAUUCGAUGAUACGCGAGGAACCUUACCCGGGCUUAAAUUGCAGUGGAAUGAUGUGGAAACAUGUCAGUGAGCAAUCACCGCUGUGAAGGUGCUGCAUGGUUGUCGUCAGCUCGUGCCGUGAGGUGUCGGCUUAAGUGCCAUAACGAGCGCAACCCUUAUCUUUAGUUACUAACAGGUUAUGCUGAGGACUCUAGAGAGACUGCCGUCGUAAGAUGUGAGGAAGGUGGGGAUGACGUCAAAUCAGCACGGCCCUUACGUCCGGGGCUACACACGUGUUACAAUGGGGGGUACAGAAGGCAGCUAGCGGGUGACCGUAUGCUAAUCCCAAAAUCCUCUCUCAGUUCGGAUCGAAGUCUGCAACCCGACUUCGUGAAGCUGGAUUCGCUAGUAAUCGCGCAUCAGCCACGGCGCGGUGAAUACGUUCCCGGGCCUUGUACACACCGCCCGUCAAGCCAUGGGAGCCGGGGGUACCUGAAGUACGUAACCGCAAGGAUCGUCCUAGGGUAAAACUGGUGACUGGGGC